CCCUUAGAUGUCCGGGGCUGCACGCGCGCUACACUGAAGGAAUCAGCGUGCUAAAACCAUUGUCGAAAGGCAUUGGUAAACCCAUUAAAAUCCUACGUGAUUGGGAUCGGGAAUUGCAAUUAUUUCCCUUGGACGAGGAAUUCCCAGUAAGUGUGGGUCAUAAGCUCGCGUUGAUUACGUCCCUGCCCUUUGUACACACCGCCCGUCGCUGCCCGGGACUGAGCCGUUUCGAGAAAAGCGGGGACUGCUGCUGUCGGGGCUUUCGGGCCUUGGCUUCGGUGGAAACCGCUUUAAUCGCAGUGGCUUGAACCGGGCAAAAGUCGUAACA
rnacentral:rRNA from 1 species